rnacentral:rRNA from 1 species
AACGAACGCUGGCGGCGUGCCUAACACAUGCAAGUCGAACGAGAAGUACGUAGCAAUACGUAUUGUAAAGUGGCGCACGGGUGAGUAACACGUGGGUAAUCUGCCCUUGAGUUUGGGAUAACCCCGCGAAAGCGGGGCUAAUACCGAAUAAGACCACGGGGACCAAAGUCCCUGAGGUAAAAGGUGGCCUCUAUUUAUAAGCUACCACUUGAGGAUGAGCCCGCGGCCCAUUAGCUAGUUGGCGGGGUAACGGCCCACCAAGGCAAUGAUGGGUAGCUGGUCUGAGAGGACGAUCAGCCACACUGGAACUGAGACACGGUCCAGACUCCUACGGGAGGCAGCAGUGGGGAAUAUUGCGCAAUGGGCGAAAGCCUGACGCAGCAACGCCGCGUGGGGGAUGAAGGUUCUCGGAUUGUAAACCCCUUUCGACCGGAACGAAUCUCCUCCUGGUAAAUAAUCAGGAGGAUCGACGGUACCGGGAGAAGAAGCCACGGCUAACUCCGUGCCAGCAGCCGCCGUAAAAC